GCCAGUGUGGGGGUAGUGGUUUGAGUAUCAGACUACUACUCUGGAGACCAGGGUUCAAUUCCCAGUUCAGCCA